rnacentral:sRNA from 1 species
AAUUAAGUUAUAUUUGUUUUGUUUAUUGUUUAAGAUUGUAUAACUAUAAUCUAGUUUCUUGUAAUCUAGUGUUGACCCUGAAAGAAAAAUCUAUAAGAAUAUGCAUAAAUGGAUAGUAAUAUUAGGAGAUAAACAUCGUUAGAACAUGAAGUAAUUUAUUU